UAUACAUGCAGUCGAGCGCGUGAAACAACAUGAUCCCUUCGGGGUGAUUGUUGUGGAUCGAGCGGCGGACGGGUGAGUAACACGUGGGUAACCUACCUGAGAGAUCGGGAUAACCCCGGGAAACCGGGGCUAAUACCGAAUAAUCGUUGGAACCGCAUGGUUCCAACGUAAAAGGCGGCUUUGCCGUCACUCACAGAUGGACCCGCGGCGCAUUAGCUAGUUGGUAAGGUAACGGCUUACCAAGGCAACGAUGCGUAGCCGACCUGAGAGGGUGAUCGGCCACACUGGGACUGAGACACGGCCCAGACUCCUACGGGAGGCAGCAGUAGGGAAUCUUCCGCAAUGGACGAAAGUCUGACGGAGCAACGCCGCGUGAACGAUGAAGGUCUUCGGAUCGUAAAGUUCUGUUGUUAGGGAAGAACAAGUACCAGAGGAAAUGCUGGUACCUUGACGGUACCUAACCAGAAAGCCACGGCUAACUACGUGCCAGCAGCCGCGGUAAUACGUAGGUGGCAAGCGUUGUCCGGAAUUAUUGGGCGUAAAGCGCGCGCAGGCGGUUCCUUAAGUCUGAUGUGAAAGCCCACAGCUCAACUGUGGAGGGCCAUUGGAAACUGGGGAACUUGAGUACAGAAGAGGAGAGCGGAAUUCCACGUGUAGCGGUGAAAUGCGUAGAUAUGUGGAGGAACACCAGUGGCGAAGGCGGCUCUCUGGUCUGUAACUGACGCUGAGGCGCGAAAGCGUGGGUAGCAAACAGGAUUAGAUACCCUGGUAGUCCACGCCGUAAACGUUGAGUGCUAGGUGUUAGGGGGUUUCCGCCCCUUAGUGCUGAAGUUAACGCAUUAAGCACUCCGCCUGGGGAGUACGGCCGCAAGGCUGAAACUCAAAGGAAUUGACGGGGGCCCGCACAAGCGGUGGAGCAUGUGGUUUAAUUCGAAGCAACGCGAGAACCUUACCAGGUCUUGACAUCUUCCGCUAUCCUAGAGAUAGGGAGUUCCCUUCGGGGACGGAAUGACAGGUGGUGCAUGGUUGUCGUCAGCUCGUGUCGUGAGAUGUUGGGUUAAGUCCCGCACGAGCGCACCCCUAAUCUUAGUGCCAGCAUUCA
rnacentral:rRNA from 1 species